GUGCUCACUUUGGCAGCAAAUACACUAAAAUUGUAACGAUACAGAGAAGGUUAACAUGGCCCCUGUGCAAGGAGGGUGAAAUGCAAAUUCAUGAAGCGUUGCAUGUUUUU